UCCUCAAUCUUGGAAGUGCAGCCACUGAUGGCGAUGCUUGGGGCAAUGUGGCAGCGUCUGGUGUGGUGGCGCAGUCUGUUGCUACUAUCAAUUCUGAGGUGACACGUGGGCGGUAGGCUAGGAGCGGUGUUUUUUUUUUCAGCUUGUUGUCAUUUUGAGUAGUAAUGACUAAUAUUUUUUCGCUAUUUGCGAUUCCAAUAAUAUCAUGGUUAUGUGCCGGUUGAUGCA
rnacentral:lncRNA from 1 species